rnacentral:rRNA from 1 species
AGAGUUUGAUCCUGGCUCAGGACGAACGCUGGCGGCGCGCCUAACACAUGCAAGUCGAACGAGCGAGAGAGAGCUUGCUUUCUCGAGCGAGUGGCGAACGGGUGAGUAACGCGUGAGGAACCUGCCUCAAAGAGGGGGACAACAGUUGGAAACGACUGCUAAUACCGCAUAAGCCCACGGCUCGGCAUCGAGCAGAGGGAAAAGGAGCAAUCCGCUUUGAGAUGGCCUCGCGUCCGAUUAGCUAGUUGGUGAGGUAACGGCCCACCAAGGCGACGAUCGGUAGCCGGACUGAGAGGUUGAACGGCCACAUUGGGACUGAGACACGGCCCAGACUCCUACGGGAGGCAGCAGUGGGGAAUAUUGCACAAUGGGGGAAACCCUGAUGCAGCGACGCCGCGUGGAGGAAGAAGGUCUUCGGAUUGUAAACUCCUGUUGUUGAGGAAGAUAAUGACGGUACUCAACAAGGAAGUGACGGCUAACUACGUGCCAGCAGCCGCGGUAAAACGUAGGUCACAAGCGUUGUCCGGAAUUACUGGGUGUAAAGGGAGCGCAGGCGGGAAGACAAGUUGGAAGUGAAAUCCAUGGGCUCAACCCAUGAACUGCUUUCAAAACUGUUUUUCUUGAGUAGUGCAGAGGUAGGCGGAAUUCCCGGUGUAGCGGUGGAAUGCGUAGAUAUCGGGAGGAACACCAGUGGCGAAGGCGGCCUACUGGGCACCAACUGACGCUGAGGCUCGAAAGUGUGGGUAGCAAACAGGAUUAGAUACCCUGGUAGUCCACACUGUAAACGAUGAUUACUAGGUGUUGGAAGGAUUGACCCCUUCAGUGCCGC